GAUGAACGCUGGCGGCGUGCCUAAUACAUGCAAGUCGAGCGAACGGACGAGAAGCUUACUUCUCUGAUGUUAGCGGCGGACGGGUGAGUAAAACGUGGAUAACCUACCUAUAAGACUGGGAUAAAUUCGGGAAACCGGAGCUAAUACCGGAUAAUAUUUUGAACCGCAUGGUUCAAAAGUGAAAGACGGUCUUGCUGUCACUUAUAGGUGGAUCCGCGCUGCAUUAGCUAGUUGGUAAGGUAACGGCUUACCAAGGCAACGAAGCAUAGCCGACCUGAGAGGGUGAUCGGCCACACUGGAACUGAGACACGGUCCAGACUCCUACGGGGGGCAGCAGUAGGGAAUCUUCCGCAAUGGGCGAAAGGCUGACGGAGCAACGCCGCGUGAGUGAUGAAGGUCUUCGGAUCGUAAAACUCUGUUAUUAGGGAAGAACAUAUGUGUAAGUAACUGUGCACAUCUUGACGGUACCUAAUCAGAAAGCCACGGCUAACUACGUG
rnacentral:rRNA from 1 species